GUAAACACCUGAAUCACAAUAUUGUCUUAUUCAGAGUAAGGUCAAUAAUUAGAUUACUGCUGUCCAUGUAAACGUAGUCAGUGUUACUAACCAAAUAAUAUCUGAUGGAGGGCUGACCUACAGCGCAUAGUAUCUGAUGGACAACAGGCAGUGAUUGACGUUAUAAACAAGGAAGUGACCGUGGCUGUGGGUAUAAAGUUAGGGGUUUGAUUCCCACUUCCACCCAUGUGUGUGCCACACAUGAUCUUAUGGAGAUGUCAGUGAUACUGACUCUUUCUGCUCUCUGACUUGCCUGAUCCAUCCUGAUGCCCUACCUCUGGAUGGGGUUCUCAUCAACUGGAGGCUACAUUCUGUCACUGAGGAUGACCCCAAUCAGCACAGCCUGGAGAUUGCUGAGGAUGGUGUUGCUUGAAGUAACAUGAAAAUGGUUUUGGACCUCAAUUCCACAUGGACAUUCUUGCUGUGAUUAUGGUUGCUGCUAUGGCCUUAGGACUGCAAUUACCACAUACCAUUUUGCACUCAGGUCUCCUUUAGUGAACAGUGGACUAGUUCAACAAAACAGACUUCAUAUAAAAACCAUAAUGAACUUUCUUUUGCUUUCACACUAUCCACUGUUACCCAGAUGAGGAUGGGUUCCCUUCUGAGUCUUGUUCCUCUCAAGGUUCCUUCCUCAUAUUAUCUUAGGGAGUUUUUCCUUGCCACUGUGGCCACCGGCUUGCUCAUUAGGGAUAGUCACACACUUAAAAUCUGUAUCCUGUGUUUAUAUGUUUCUGUAAAGCUGCUUUGAGACAAUGUCCAUUGUUAAAAGCGCUACACAAAUAAAAUAAAAUGUAAUUUAAUUGAAUGUGUGUGUGGAGUUUGCAUGUUCUCUCCGUGCUUCCUUUGGGUACUCUGGUUUCCUCCCUCAGUCCAAAGACAUGCGCUGAAGGCUGAUUGGUAUUUCCAAAUUGUCCAUAGUGUAUGAAUGGGUGUGUGAGUGUGUGUGCGAUUGUGCCCUGCAAUGGGUCGGCGCCCUGUUCAAGGUGUCCACCUCCUUGUCCUUGUGCCGCGAUUCCCCUGGGAUAGGCUCCAGGCUCCCCGUGACCCUGUGUAGGAUAAGCAGGACAGAAAAUGGAUGGAUGGAUAUAGCCUAUGUACAUUGCACCUCUACUGUCAUUUCACUUUACAACCUUCUUCAGCACGUUGUAAUAAUUUGUCUUAUUUCUACACAGGUACAUUGUAUUUAUUUGAUAUUCUACAUUUUAU
ensembl:lncRNA